rnacentral:tRNA from 1 species
GCUGGAAUGGCCGAGUCGUUAAGGCGAGUGAUUUGAACUCUCAAAUCUAUCACUUGGUGUUUCACCGCGUAGGUUCAAAUCCUGCUUCCAGCG